rnacentral:rRNA from 1 species
UACAGAGGUCCCAAGCGUUGUUCGGAUUCAUUGGGCGUAAAGGGUGCGUAGGCGGCGCGGUAAGUCGGGUGUGAAAUCUCGGGGCUUAACUCCGAAACUGCAUUCGAUACUGCCGUGCUUGAGGACUGGAGAGGAGACUGGAAUUUACGGUGUAGCGGUGAAAUGCGUAGAUAUCGUAAGGAAGACCAGUGGCGAAGGCGGGUCUCUGGACAGAGUCUGACGCUGAGGCGCGAAAGCUAGGGGAGCAAACAGG